UGGUGUGCGUUUUUUUUUUGA
rnacentral:piRNA from 1 species